GUCAGACAGUCACUGUUGUGCACCAACUGAUGGCACUGGAGUGAGUUGCAUACCUGCCAACAUAGGAAACUAUGACAUUUCAAUGUAGGUGAGUGGGCCUAUAGAAGGUGUGCCAGUGAUACGACUUAUAUCCCAGGUGAGGUAAGUUGUGACAGAUCCUCUGUCUCUGGAUUAUAACCCAACCCAGCUGAGAAAUACGUACAGUCCAUGAGGAACCUACUGACCG